rnacentral:rRNA from 1 species
UACGUAGGGUGCGAGCGUUAAUCGGAAUUACUGGGCGUAAAGCGUGCGCAGGCGGUUUUGUAAGUCAGAUGUGAAAUCCCCGGGCUUAACCUGGGAACUGCAUUUGUGACUGGCGAGCUAGAGUAUGGCAGAGGGGGGUAGAAUUCCACGUGUAGCAGUGAAAUGCGUAGAGAUGUGGAGGAAUACCGAUGGCGAAGGCAGCCCCCUGGGCCAAUACUGACGCUCAUGCACGAAAGCGUGGGGAGCAAACAGG